rnacentral:rRNA from 1 species
GAUGAACGCUGGCGGCGUGCUUAACACAUGCAAGUCGAACGGGAAAUAUUUCAUUGAGACUUCGGUGGAUUUGAUUUAUUUCUAGUGGCGGACGGGUGAGUAACGCGUGGGUAACCUGCCUUAUACAGGGGGAUAACAGUCAAAAAUGGCUGCUAAUACCGCAUAAGCGCACAGAGCUGCAUGGCUCAGUGUGAAAAACUCCGGUGGUAUAAGAUGGACCCGCGUUGGAUUAGCUAGUUGGUGGGGUAACGGCCCACCAAGGCGACGAUCCAUAGCCGGCCUGAGAGGGUGAACGGCCACAUUGGGACUGAGACACGGCCCAGACUCCUACGGGAGGCAGCAGUGGGGAAUAUUGCACAAUGGGGGAAACCCUGAUGCAGCGACGCCGCGUGAAGGAAGAAGUAUCUCGGUAUGUAAACUUCUAUCAGCAGGGAAGAUAGUGACGGUACCUGACGAAGAAGCCCCGGCUAACUACGUG